rnacentral:rRNA from 1 species
AUUGAACGCUGGCGGCGUGCUUAACACAUGCAAGUCGAGCGGCAGCGCGGGAGCAAUCCUGGCGGCGAGCGGCGAACGGGUGAGUAAUGCUUCGGAAUCUGCCCAGUAGUGGGGAACAACCAGUCGAAAGACUGGCUAAUACCGCAUACGACCUAUGGGUGAAAGCAGGGGACCGCAAGGCCUUGCGCUAUUGGAUGCGCCGAAGUCGGAUUAGCUAGUUGGCGGGGUAGCGGCCCACCAAGGGGACGAUCCGUAGCUGGUCUGAGAGGACGACCAGCCACACUGGGACUGAGACACGGCCCAGACUCCUACGGGAGGCAGCAGUGGGGAAUAUUGGACAAUGGGGGAAACCCUGAUCCAGCGACGCCGCGUGUGUGAAGAAGGCCUGCGGGUUGUAAAGCACUUUUAGUGGGGAGGAAAACACCCGACCUAACACGUCGGGAAUUGACUUAACCCAAAGAAAAAGCACCGGCUAACUCUGUGCCAGCAGCCGCCGUAA